UACGUAGGGUGCGAGCGUUGUCCGGAAUUAUUGGGCGUAAAGAGCUUGUAGGCGGUCUGUCGCGUCUGCUGUGAAAAUCCGGGGCUCAACCCCGGACUUGCAGUGGGUACGGGCAGACUAGAGUGUGGUAGGGGAGACUGGAAUUCCUGGUGUAGCGGUGAAAUGCGCAGAUAUCAGGAGGAACACCGGUGGCGAAGGCGCUCUGCUAGGCCGCAACUGACACUGAGGCGCGACAGCGUGGGGAGCAAACAGG
rnacentral:rRNA from 1 species